GAACCGGGUACACGAUCAAGAUAUUACAAAAUAAUAUUUUGAGAAAUUACAACUCAAAAUAAUUGAAAUAUUACAAAGUAAAUAAUUUGAGAAAUUACAACUCAAAUAAUUUGAUACAACUGAAAUACACUGUAUAAAUAAAUUAUACGUAUAAACAAAAUCGAGUCGAGAUGAAUCUCUUCCCGCAAGAAGAUUAUCGCCCCGGUAGUGCUCUUCGGUUUGGCGUAUCUUCCCCAAAGGUAAAACGACUACGUCUCGGCGGAUGUAGCACCACAAUCCGGCGAGCUCCGGCGAACUGAAUAAGGAUCGAAAACUGAGCUAGAGGUGGAAUGCAGAAUGCAGACUAUUUUGUGAGUUGUGAGUUGUGAGUUUUCAGAGUGAAUUCUAAAGCUCACCACACACCCAUAUUUAUAGGUGUUAAACCGAG
rnacentral:lncRNA from 1 species